GAUAUUUGACAUAUAUUUACCGUAGGGUACUACUACUGUCGUAUACAGCAUAACCUUUGCGUUGUUGGAGAAGUAACAAGAGAGAAGUUGGAUGAUUGGACCAAUUCUAAAAAAAUAUUUCUUCGCCCAGAAAAGGGCAGUCUAAUUGUGACAAAGCAUCCGACCCACGUAGAGUCUUCCUUUGGUGGUUCCGCUCAACUUUCCUGUCAGGCGGAGAGUUUUGAGUUGUUAAGUUAUCAAUGGUUCAAAGAUGAUGAAAAACUAAUAGGUAAGAU